ACAACCGCCCUGCCCGCCAGCUGCCGGGGGGAGGGGUGAAACUCUAUCCUCCCCCCUCUCCCCCAGCCCAGACACCAGCCCAGGGUCCAUUGGGGGCCAGGCUGCUGGGAAAGGGAGCUGCAGCAAGGGCCGGGAGGGGGCCAGAGUCAGACAGCGCCCAGCCUGAGGAGGAGCCGCCCGGGGCCCCAGGAGGACCCCUGGAUGACAGUCAAGACCUGACCCUGCCCUUCAAGGCCCCGAGUCGGGCCAAGCUGACCAGCGGAACAAGAGGAGCGUGUGCAGCCACUGCCCCAAGUGAGGAGGCCCGACCCCCAGAGGCAGAUCCUGCCCCUGGGCCUCAGGGCCUGCACCUUCGCUCCCAGGGACAGCUGCUACUGGACUAUCUCCUAUUGAACCCCUCAGACCCAGAGGCCUGACAUCAGGGAAUCGGGGAGAAGUCCCCCAGACAGGUAGAGCUAUCGCUGAUUCACAGGGGAGCAGGGCGAGCCCAGAGUGAGUCAUCCCCUGGUACUGAGUCAUCUAGGCUUGGCUCUGGAAACUUCUAAAGCAGUUGCCUUUAGGAAGCUUUGUCUCAGUAUUUUUCCACUCGACUGAAGGUUGUUGGUUCAAACCCACCCAAGGGUGCUGUGGAAGAAAGGCUGGGGUGCUGUGGAAGAAAGGCUGGCUUCCAUGAAGAAUUCUGUGAAGCUCUGUUCUGUAACAUAAGGGGCUUCUAUGAGGUGGAAUCAACUCCGACACAGGUUUUAGAUUCCAAGUAAAGGAAAGCAAGAUCUUAUAGCUGUCAGAAAUUCAAGACCUUGUUAGCAAAGUAAAACAAGGGAACCCAUAAAGGUGU